rnacentral:rRNA from 1 species
GAUCCUGGCUCAGGAUAAACGCUGGCGGCGUGCCUAAUACAUGCAAGUCGAGCGAGGUAUUCAGCAAUGGAUACCGAGCGGCGAACGGGUGAGUAACACGUUGGGAACCUACCCCCCUGAUUGGAAUACCCAAGGGAAACUUUGGUUAAUGCCGAAUACGUGGUUCUGGGAUAACCUGGAGCCAUAAAAAAGCGGCCUUAAAGCCGCGCAGAGGGAUGGACCUGCGGCGCAUUAGCUAGUAGGUGAGAUAAUAG